AGAGUUAAAUAGUACGUGAAAUUGUUGAAAGGGAAACGAUUGAAGUCAGUCAUGCUUGUAGGGAAUCAACAUGGUGGUUUUCUUCCUUGUGCACUUCCUUGCUUAGCAGGUUAGCAUCAAUUUCGAUUGUCAUUAAAGAACUGGGGGAAUGUGGCUUCUUCGGGAGUGUUAUAGACCUUGGUAGAUGUGGCGAUCGGGAUUGAGGAUUGCAGCGAAUGCUUCUUGGCUAGUCACCUGGCUUCUUAUGGUCACCUCGAUUUCGAUAGCUUGCUAACGUUAGUGAGAUUUGAUUGUCUAGAUGUUAGAGUGAUCAUAAAUUCGCUAAGGAUGCUGACGUAAUGGCUUUAAACGA
rnacentral:misc_RNA from 1 species